rnacentral:rRNA from 1 species
UGGGGAAUUUUGGACAAUGGGCGAAAGCCUGAUCCAGCAAUGCCGCGUGUGUGAAGAAGGCCUUCGGGUUGUAAAGCACUUUUGUCCGGAAAGAAAUCCUUGGCUCUAAUACAGUCGGGGGAUGACGGUACCGGAAGAAUAAGCACCGGCUAACUACGUGCCAGCAGCCGCGGUAAUACGUAGGGUGCAAGCGUUAAUCGGAAUUACUGGGCGUAAAGCGUGCGCAGGCGGUUUGCUAAGACCGAUGUGAAAUCCCCGGGCUCAACCUGGGAACUGCAUUGGUGACUGGCAGGCUAGAGUAUGGCAGAGGGGGGUAGAACUUCCACGUGUAGCAGUGAAAUGCGUAGAGAUGUGGAGGAAUACCGAUGGCGAAGGCAGCCCCCUGGGCCAAUACUGACGCUCAUGCACGAAAGCGUGGGGAGCAAACAGGAUUAGAUACCCUGGUAGUCCACGCCCUAAACGAUGUCAACUAGUUGUUGGGGAUUCAUUUCCUUAGUAACGUAGCUAACGCGUGAAGUUGACCGCCUGGGGAGUACGGUCGCAAGAUUAAAACUU